CACAAAGUUCUCAAAAUAAACAGUCUCAGAUUCAGAUUGUGCUGUGUCAACCAGGAGUUUCCCGAACAAACACUUUCCCCUGUGACCAAAUAGUAGGAUUGUAUUCCAAGAGCAAUGGGAGUCCAUUUAAAUUAUUUCAGCAGAGGAGUUACAUGAUCCAGUAUGACUAAAGUUUGGAAGGAUCUCUCUCGCUCCAGCUUCCCUUUGGAGAAUGAAUUGAAAGAAAGCUGGAAAAUAGGUGUUAAAGCCACCUUUGAUAGAGAGGGGCCUAGGUGAGAAAGAAGUGUCACUUGAAAAGUUUUAGAAAAGAAACAUUGGAGACAAAAUAUUUCAAGGUGAUUUCAAGAUGGACUUGAUACGGUGCUGAAGGAAAAGGACAGUUUCUAGAGAGAUGCUAAGAUGUCCAGUUGUGCAACCAGUGUAC
rnacentral:lncRNA from 1 species